rnacentral:rRNA from 1 species
CGGCGGGCGGGGCGGGGGCACGGGGGGACGGGGUGCAGCAGGCGCGAAAUCUUUACAAUGCGGGUCACCGUGAUAAGGGGACACCGAGUGCUAGCAAGAAUUGCUGGCUGUCCAGGUGCUUAACUUGCACCUGUUAGCAAGGGCCGGGCAAGACCGGUGCCAGCCGCCGCGGUAACACCGGCGGCCCGAGUGGUGAUCGUUAUUAUUGGGUCUAAAGGGUCCGUAGCCUGUUUGGUCAGUCUUCCGGGAAAUCUGCCAGCUUAACUGGUAGUCUAUCGGUGGAUACUGCCAGACUUGGAACCGGGUGAGGUAAGAGGUACUACAGGGGUAGGAGUGAAAUCUUGUAAUCCCUGUAGGACUACCUGUGGCGAAGGCGUCUUACCAGAACGGGUUCGACGGUGAGGGACGAAAGCUGGGGGCACGAACCGGAUUAGAUACCCGGGUAGUCCCAGCUGUAAACUAUGCUCGCUAGGUGUCAGGCACGGUGCGACCGUGUUUGGUGCCGCAGGGAAGCCGGAAGCGAGCCACCUGAAGACGCGAGAUCUUC